rnacentral:rRNA from 1 species
AUUUCUUCAACAGGAACCUCCUGCUAAUCUUCGUUUUAGGAGAGUUGAUCGUGGCUCGGAGA